UGCCUAAGGAGGAAAGUCGAGCGAGAAAAUCCCCGCAAGGGGAUGAGUAAGCUGACAACGGGUGAGGAACACGUGGGCAACCUGCCCUUCAGUCAGGAAUAACCCCGCGAAAGCGGGGCUAAUACCGGAUGACGUCCCUUGGGGGCAUCCUUGGGGGACCAAAGGGGGCGAGCGAAAGCGGCUCCCGCUGAAGGAUGGGCCUGCGGCUGAUUAGCUAGUUGGUGGGGUAGCGGCCUACCAAGGCGACGAUCAGUAGCCGACCUGAGAGGGUGACCGGCCACACUGGGACUGAGACACGGCCCAGACUCCUACCGGAGGCAGCAGUGGGACAGUUGGCUCAGAACGAACGCUGGCGGCCCCACUCCUACGGGAGGCAGCAGUGGG
rnacentral:sRNA from 1 species